CCUGCCAUCAGAACAAAUUGUGAUAUAAACAUAGGAAACUUCACAAUCAUACAAUUAUGAACAAACCACCUUAAUUUACUAGAGCACAUAUAGUAUUCCAAAACAGUAACACGUUUCUUUCCUUAAAAGGUUAUUACAAGCGGGGAGAAAUCACUAGUCUCCUUUUGUAAUGAGUUCAUGAUAUCAAAUGUCCUCUUUAUUGAAUGUUGGUCACUGGGAAAAUUCAUGGCUAAUCAGUGAUCUUUUAAAAUCUGCUGGAUUGUCCCUCAUCUCCUGUAAUACCUUAAGAAAUAUGUCCUUGCCUGAUUAGAUGUUUUGGUACCACAAAAAGGAAGUCAUAAAACCCCUCCAAAACACAGUGAAUUUCAGAUCUGCACUUGCAUAUCAGUACAGCAAAUAUAAAUUGGCUUAUUUUAUUGACUGCAUAAUUUUAGUAUUAUAAAAGCUUGAAAGUAGUUAACCAACACACCAGGACCAUAGAAACUAAGGCUGUCUUUUUCUUUUUUUUUUUGAGCAGACCGAACAGACCCAAAAUCUUAGCUCUCCUGUGGAAAGACAGAUAAAAGGUGAAAUCUUUAGAGAACAAAGAGAAAUCAAAGCAACUCCUCCAUCCUAAAUUGUUACCAGGAUUACAAACCAACUAAUUAUGAUGCAAGAAUAUGAACUGGGCUGCUUAUAGGACAGUGUGAAAAAUUUAGAAGGGUUUUUUUCUUAUUCAUACUGUCCUGGACUAGAACCUCUUUUCCUGCACACUUAUUAAAAGUACCUGUAUCACCAUCACUGUCACCAUGCUGCUGCUGAGACCACAAAGUGAUAGUUUGAAAUAAAGGCUAUACUGUUUAGCAGAGAUGCUAAACAAGAUAAAAGAUGUAUUUUGCUGCACUCCACAGAGAUGUACUAGCACUGUGAAAACCCUGAAAGAAUUCUCCACCUGCUUAAAUUCAGAACAAUCUUCCAACAAAAGCAGAGAUUUUGUCAUUCUUAUUGUUGCCUGAAGACACCAGCCAGAACAAUAAACAGCUCCAAGGCCAUUCUUAGCAGAAAUUAUAUGUAGGCUCCCAUGGUGUAGAAACCCUAUGAAAGCCAUGAAAAUUCACUAAGCUUCCUUAGUCCCGUGCCAAGAUAUUCAGCAGGAACUUCGGUCGUUGCCAAGAAACACGUGUGCCUCAGAUACAGAAGCUCUGCGUGUACCGGUAUUUCAACAUUCCUGGAGAGAAAUGUGACCCCUUGAUGCAUACACUGGUUUGCUGGCAUGCUCACAUUCCUCCCCAUCUGUCAGAGUGGCAUGCUGCCUUCUCACAAGGUGGGAUGCCAGUUCUGGAGCACAGGUGCCAACCAAAUAUAGGCUCGGACUAAUACUCUGCAAAAUGUGGCAAAUGACAUUUCACCUGCAAGAGGACCAUCCUACCUGCAGCCCAUGCCAAAUUAGGAUUGCAUGCUUCAUUAGCAAAGGGGGUCAUCAGCUGAAAAUCACAGGCAGAACCAGAAAUACCUGCUUUCUGGAUAACAUCUCCUAACUGAGAGCCCGCAGCACUGAGGUUUAAUUUACAAUACGCCAAAUUUUCCUAACAUUGCAGCCAUACAGCCCUUUGGAGCAAGAUGCAGCAGACCAUGGACAGAGAUCUGUUGAAUUCAUCCUCCCAGACUAAUUUCUGACAAAUUUCAAGAUUCUCAAAAAAGGCAAAUGAAUUAACCGUGGGGGGAAAGCAUAAAUAAAGAUUUGUAUUUUCUCUAAGGGUGUUUCUAGUACCACAAAGAAAACCAUCUUCAUUAUGACUGUCAAAAAAGCCCGAACUAAAACUAAAAUUAUUUUCAACCAAAUUGUUCAUAUAAUUCUAAAAUUCUUAAAGUCUAUAAAAUAUUUUUAUAGAUGUUGACAUACAAUACAAUAUAAAAAUACAUAUACAUACAAUAUAAAAAGUCUUUCAUUUCUAGUUGAGAAUUUAUGUACACGUGAAAGUCAUGAGCAGCCAUUAGACAGAAAUCAUUCAACAUCCAAUCAUAACACUGGAAAAUAUUAAAUGGUAUUUCAAUAUCCUCAGAAUGAAGUAUAGUUUAAACCCCUUCAUUAAUAAAAAUACUCCCCACUAUAUUAAUCUAACAAGAAAAGUUAAAUAUUCAGUUGAUCAAUAAACAGAAUAGCCACAAAGUAGUGUUGGUUUUGCCUCCAAAUUAGCACAGCCUUCUUCAUUUAUAAAUGUACAAAAGAAAAAUGAAGUAUUGCUAGUCUGAAAAAUUUACCAGCUUUCAGGAAACAAUUUGCUAUCCUUUCUCUGGUAAUUUACUAUGAUUUCUGUAAUUUAUUUAUGCCAGGAUGUACCUGAUAUAUCAUCAGCUUUAGGUAGUUUUCUUAAACUGGCUAUCCAAAAAUGAGUCGUGUUAUGCAUAAUUCUGAAUUAUUUAGACUAUUCAGAAGGCACACCACUGCUACUCCCAAAUGACAAACUCAGAGCUAUUAAUUUUUACAAGUAAAAAAUUAUAACUCAAUACAUUGAAUUCUAUAAUUACAAUUCAAUACACUAAGAUGCAAAGUCCUGCCUCUGAGAUGGAAUAACCCCAUGCAACAGUACAGGCUGGGGGCCAACUGGCUAGAAAGUCUGUUUUCAGGGAAAAAACUGGAGGUCCCUGUGGACAAACUGAUCAUGAGCCAGCAGUGUGCCCUGGCAGAAAAGGCAGCCAACAGCAUCCCAGGCUGUUUUAAGAGAAGCACUGCCAGCAGAUCGAGCGACCUGGUAAUUUCGCUCUUCCUGGCAUUUGAGGGACUGCAUCAGGAGCAAUGGUCCAGCUCUAGUCUUCCCAGGACAAGACAGAUACUGAAACAGUGAAGGAAGACAAAUGGGAGGCUGCAGUGUGAUAUACAAGAUAGACAAGAAGCUGAGAGAGCUGAGUUUGCACAGACUGGGGAAGAGCAGCAGGAGGUGAGAGCUUAUUGCUGCCUGCACCAGCCUAAUAAGAGGGUUUAGGGAAGAUGGAACAAGGCUCCUUGCAGAGGUGCACAAGGACAUGACAAGAGACAAUGGACACAAACUGAACUAUUCCGAUUCAAUAUGAGGGGAAAAAAAUUACCUUGAGCAUUGUCAAAUGGUGGGCUAGGUUGCCAAGAAACACUGUGGCAUCAGCAUCCUUGGACACAGUCCAGCUUGACUGGAGAUGGCCCUGUGUAACCUGCUCUAAUUGGACCUGCACUGAUCAAGAGGUAAGACUGGAUGGUCCCCGGGUGGUGCUUUCCCAUCUACAUAUUUCUAUGAAAUAUGUGCUAGGAUUUUGUAUGAUACACAUCUCAGUUUUAACAACCUACAGGAACAUUUCAGUGUGUCACACUCCAAGCAAUCACUAAACUAUUCAGGGACAGCAGCCAGCCGUACAUUUGUUUUUCUUGUCUUUUCUUUCAAACAAAGUAUUUCAUACAGAACUUAUUUCUAGUAAAUUAACAGCAUUAGACAAGGCAUUUAUACUACGCCUUCCACUUUGGAUUCCAAAUGGCUUAGAAAUGAUGCAUUACUUAACAUAGAAACAGGCUCCUGUUAUGCCCCCACCAAAACAAGGAAGGUGGCAUAAAGUCAGUAGAACAGCAUAUUUUUCUUCCUGGCAUACUGUGCCUGUAUGUCACAACCACUAUCCUAAUGUAAAGCAGAUUGUCCUGCCCACAAUUCCAUUACAGUCUUGGGCCUGUCACAAAUACCACCAUAUUAAGUGCUCUUUCAUGCCUAGGUUAAUUUAUUUUAAAUUUAUUAUUUCAGAUUAAUAAAAAUAUCCUGAUGCUUGGUCUGCAAAUUUCCAUGUUCAAAGUCAAAACCUACAUAAAUUGCUGCAGUGUUGCACCUGCAACUUACUGUCUUUUAUCAUUAGAGUAUGAAUAUCAAAAAGGUAAAGUCUACUUUAGUACAGGCAAAGUAGGUUCUUGACAAUGCUUCCAUAUAGUUGAUAGUUUAUUAAUAGAGUGGUGAUCUUGAAAAGGCCACUACAUUAAUUUUAAAGGUUUGAUGACAGAAACAUUUUAAAUGCUAUCAGACUGUAAAAGCAGUAUGUUAUAGACUCUUGGAUUACUGGAAAUAAGUAGGAAAUAAGUAGGAAAUAAGAUGUUGGUGUUAAACAGGUAAAAGAAAGUAAUGAAUUUCCCUUUUAUUUUUGUGCUUCUCGCAGUUACUCAAAGCCAGUAGGCUGUGACUGAAACACAAUUAAUAACCCAUGAGCCCAGUACAAGGAUUAAGCAAAUAUGUAUCUGUAUGUCCUCUGCAGAGAUCUUCCAGUAGCCAAGAGGAGCAAAAAUCAGCAUUCCUAAGGAGACACUGCCUGCAUUUAAAGGAACACAAGUCACAGAACACAUCCAAACUGGCUAAAUAAGAGGGGUAAUGAGUACACAUUUUAAACAGAUACUGUCAGGGCACAAAUUAAUGAAACUGUUAUCGCAGGGAAAAAAAUCUUCUGAUGCAGAGGCAGCAGACAGUAUUGUGAUAUAGCUCUAUCAGGGAGGUGCUGAUACUGACAGGAAAAAAGUCUUCUGCAGCCUUCAAAGGUUAUUUGGACACUGGGUACAUAUGAAAAGUCUGUGUGCUCUACUGAUGAUGAAAGUUGAGGAGAAACAUUUCUUUUCAAAAAGGACCCUGACUUGGGAGCUGUGCAGACAUAUCAGAGCUUUAGCACACCUGUUUUUUCACACCUUUGAAAUAUUUCUCUAAGGAUCAAGCAAAACCAGAAGGAGAAAGAUACCUGGUGCUAUUUCUUUUUCCCUUCCACUGACCAUUUCCACAAAUGUUACUGAAGUCCUUAGGGAGAAGAAACUACUACAAUCAUACAGGGUUAGGAAGGAGAGCACACAGAGUCACAGUUUUUCCCAUACCACUUACAUUUCCUUCUAAUUUCUCUUUGUUCAUCCAAUAAAAGAUUCAAAGGUGUUAGGAAAAGAAACAGUUAUAUGAAGAAACAAAUUCUGUUUACAGAUGAUUUUCAACAGACUUCAAAGACUUUGGCUUACACAGCACUGUGAGACUCAAAAAAGGACAAUGUUAAUCUUGUUCAACCUUUUCCAGCAGAGUGUUGCUCACUAGAGUAUGUUAAUCAGUGGUUUUUCCACACUACCUUCAAAUUACUCAUAAGUUAAAUUCACCAAGACAAACAGAUAAAAAUGUUAAGAUUCUCUUUUCCCUAAAGUAUUCUGAUUUACUACAGAUGGAUGAAACAGUAUACCAAAGGAAACAGAAGAUACACCCAAGGAAGGAUCUACAGAGUUUUCGCUCUAAACAAGCACAAUUAAUUUUGAUAAUACUGAAGACUUUCUUCUUAUUCAGACUCACAGUAGAAUAAUUGAACUUGGCAGAUAGUUUCUGUGAAAUGUCUUUAUUGAGGCUUUUAUGUACUAGCAAGCACAAAAGAGAAAAAAAAGGAAAGAAGUGAGAUAUAUAAAGCUGUAUCUUCAUUGCAAUAAAAAUGAUUUUUACUCAGUAUUUAGGUAUUUACUCAGUAUUUACGGUAUUCUAGCACUGUACCCUGUAGUGAUAAGUGGUAAGUGAAGAGGCCCAGUCAUUUUAAUACAAUGUGAAAUCUUAAGAAGGUAAACCACUGUAUUUCCUUAUUUUGGCAUGGCUGGUUCACAUCAACACCAGGUAGGAGAUACACUGAUAUAAAAACUACCUGGGAAUUUUCUGUGCUAGGACUGUACCAAAACAAAGCUUCUUAACAUACCUUUUAUGACUUUAAAAAAUGUGAAUUCUAAAAAAUCUUUGUGGAAGCCUAAUACAUGCAGGGUUACUAGAAGCCUGCAGAGACCUAGGUUCAAGGACAUAAUCUCUCCAUUCUUUGUUUUCUUCCUUUGUUAAACUGGGGCAGCAUUUCUUGUUUUCUGUGGUAUUGAAUAAUGUCCUUUUCUGCUAGUCCAGAAAUAAAAUAAGUGAAGA